CUCAUUUUCUUAAUAGAGUCUUUCUCUGAACAAAGGUAUUCAUUUUGAUGAAGCCGAAUUUAGGAAGUUUAAAGAAUUUUUUCCCUUUUAUGGACUGUGAUUUUAAUCAAGCUUAAGAACUCUUUGCUUAGCCCUGGAUUCCAAAGAUUUUCUGUUUUGUUUUGGUUUUUUUUAUUCUAAAGUUUUUAUAGUUUUAUGUUUGAAGUCUGUGACGCAUCUUGUGUUCAUUCUUGUAAAGUGUGGGAGGUUCUUAGGGCUGGACCUGGGCACACAUUUCAUUGGCUAGGACCCAGUCACAUGGCUGCAACGUGGGAGCCCUGCUGGCUGCAAGGGCGGCUGGGACAGGAUUCCAGGAGCAAGAGCAGCGGGAAGAGAGGCUCCUGCUUGCACUGCGUUGCUCAAGUUUGUUUCUGAGACAAGAGUUGCUGACUCCAAAUCUGCAACAUAACUGAUAAGGAAGAAAGAACAGCUCGUUUUAAUGCAGUUCAUGUCAUCUAUGUAACCUUGGUGUCUCCAUAAAAUUCUUCCUGAUAUUUAAAAGAGUUGAUAGCUGAGAUAAGAUUUUUUAAAUAUCAGUAUUAACAAAACCCAGGCCUCAAUGAAGCAUAAUCCAAUGGAAAUUAUAUGCAAAGCAACAGCCCCACCAGGGUUCACAAGCCACAGCUGAAAUGUUAUUAUUGUGCAAUGAAAAUCUACAGCUUCCUCACUAUGGAAUCAGGACAUAAACUUUAACAAAGUCACACUCUGCUUUUCUUCAACCCCAAGGACAGCCUAAUCAGACCACAGUACAUAAGAACUCUCUUUUCUUUCCUUUGUUUUAUUUUACUUUCUUCUCUCUUAUGAAAAUAAAACUUUAAACUCAAAAUUGACA
rnacentral:lncRNA from 1 species